rnacentral:rRNA from 1 species
AGAGCGAACGCUGGCGGCGUGCUUAACACAUGCAAGUCGAACGCGCAGCAUUCUGUAGCAAUACAGGGUGUGGGCGCGUGGCGAACGGGUGCGUAACACGUGGAUAACCUUCCUUGAGGUGGGAAUAACCCAGUGAAAAUUGGGCUAAUACCGCAUAACAUCGUCGAUGGCACAUGCUGAUGCGAUCAAAGGCGCAAGUCGCCACAAGAGGGAUCCGCGGCCGAUUAGCUUGUUGGCGAGGUAAUGGCUCACCAAGGCAAUGAUCGGGUA